AGCGAACGCUGGCGGCAGGCCUAAUACAUGCAAGUCGAGCGCACCUUCGGGUGAGCGGCGGACGGGUGAGUAACGCGUGGGAACGUGCCCUUUGGUACGGGAUAACUGAGGGGAACUUCAGCUAAUACCGUAUGGGCCCUACGGGGGAAAGAUUUAUCGCCAUUGGAGCGGCCCGCGUUGGAUUAGGUAGUUGGUGAGGUAAAGGCUCACCAAGCCUACGAUCCAUAGCUUGUCUGAGAGGAUGAUCAGCCACACUGGGACUGAGACACGGCCCAGACCCCUACGGGAGGCAGCAGUAGGGAAUCUUGCGCAAUGGGCGAAAGCCUGACGCAGCCAUGCCGCGUGAAUGAUGAAGGUCUUAGGAUUGUAAAAUUCUUUCACCGGGGAAGAUAAUGACGGUACCCGGAGAAGAAGCCCCGGCUAACUUCGUGCCAGCAGCCGCCGUAAAAC
rnacentral:rRNA from 1 species